rnacentral:miRNA from 1 species
GGCUGAGGCUGAGCUGAGGGGUCUCCAGACCUGUGGGUGGGAUCACGCAGCCAUAGAGCCGAGCCCUCAUCCUCUGGCUGGCUGGCC